rnacentral:rRNA from 1 species
CCUACGGGAGGCAGCAGUGAGGAAUAUUGGUCAAUGGACGAGAGUCUGAACCAGCCAAGUAGCGUGAAGGAUGACUGCCCUAUGGGUUGUAAACUUCUUUUAUAAAGGAAUAAAACGAGGCACGUGUGCCUUUUUGCAUGUACUUUAUGAAUAAGGAUCGGCUAACUCCGUGCCAGCAGCCGCGGUAAUACGGAGGAUCCGAGCGUUAUCCGGAUUUAUUGGGUUUAAAGGGAGCGUAGACGGGUUGUUAAGUCAGUUGUGAAAGUUUGGGGCUCAACAGUGAAAUUGCAUUUGAUACUGGCAGUCUUGAGUACAGGUGAGGUAGGCGGAAUUCGUGGUGUAGCGGUGAAAUGCUUAGAGAUCACGAAGAACCCCGAUUGCGAAGGCAGCUUACUAAACUGUGACUGACAUUGAUGCUCGAAAGUGUGGGGAUCAAACAGGAUUAGAUACCCGUGUAGUC